GGAUUAUAACUCAGUGGUAGAGCGCUCACCUAGCACUGGUGAGGCACUGGGUUCGAUCCUCAGCACCA
rnacentral:tRNA from 1 species